UACGGGGGGGGCAAGCGUUGUUCGGAAUUACUGGGCGUAAAGGGCUCGUAGGCGGCCAACUAAGUCGGACGUGAAAUCCCUCAGCUUAACUGGGGAACUGCGUCCGAUACUGGAUGGCUUGGAUUCGGGAGAGGGAUGCGGAAUUCCAGGUGUAGCGGUGAAAUGCGUAGAUAUCUGGAGGAACACCGGUGGCGAAGGCGGCAUCCUGGACCGAUAGUGACGCUGAGGAGCGAAAGCCAGGGGAGCAAACGGG
rnacentral:rRNA from 1 species